UUAACAAAAACAUGUCCUUUUGAUUUUUAUUUAAGGUCUAAUCUGCUCAAUGAUAUUUAAAUUGCCGCAGUAUUUUAACUGUGCGAAGGUAGCAUAAUAAUUAGUUUCUUGAUUAGAAGCUGGAAUGAAUGAUUGGACGAAAAAAUUUCUGUCUCAUUUUAAUGUAUUGUUGAAUUUUAUUUUUAAGUUAAAAAGCUUAAAUUUGUAUGAAAGACGAGAAGACCCUAUAGAGUUUAAUAUUAAAAUUUCACUAAUUUUUAGAAAUACUUUUUAUAUUUUAAUAUUUAGUUGGGGUGACUUGGAGAUUUACUUAAUUCUUUGAAUUUUUAAUUGAUGAUACUUAAUUUUUUAAUCUAUAAAUUGUAAAUUUAAAAUAAAUUACCUUAGGGAUAACAGCGUAAUUUUUCUUUAAAGUUCUUAUUUCAAGAAGAUUUUGCGACCUCGAUGUUGGAUUAAAAUAAAUUUUAGGUGCAGCCACUUAAAAAUUAGGUCUGUUCGACCUUUAAAAUUUUACAUGAUCUGAGUUUAAACCGGUGUAAGCCAGGUUGGAUUCUAUCUUUAGUAAAUUAAUAUAUUUUAGUACGAAAGGACCAAAUAUUUAUUAAAUAUUAAUUG
rnacentral:rRNA from 1 species